rnacentral:rRNA from 1 species
GAUGAACGCUAGCUACAGGCUUAACACAUGCAAGUCGAGGGGUAACGAGAGGGAAGCUUGCUCUCCUUGUCGACGACCGGCGCACGGGUGAGUAACGCGUAUCCAACCUGCCCCCAACUAGGGAAUAACCUUGCGAAAGUAAGACUAAUACCCUAUAAUUUCCUCAGAUGUCAUCUGACGAGGAAUAAGGAUUUAUCGGUUGUGGAUGGGGAUGCGUCUGAUUAGCUUGUUGGCGGGGUAACGGCCCACCAAGGCAACGAUCAGUAGGGGUUCUGAGAGGAAGGUCCCCCACAUUGGAACUGAGACACGGUCCAAACUCCUACGGGAGGCAGCAGUGAGGAAUAUUGGUCAAUGGGCGGAAGCUUGAACCAGCCAAGUAGCGUGCAGGAUGACGGCCCUAUGGGUUGUAAACUGCCUUUAUACAGGAAUAAAGUUAGCCACGUGUGGUUAUUUGUAGGUACUGUAUGAAUAAGGACCGGCUAAUUCCGUGCCAGCCGCCGCCGUAA